AAUGUAACGAUGAUCCUAACGUUGGAACCAAAAUUUGCAAAAGUAGCCCUCCUUCCGUCCCAUCUCCAACUCCAACCAAUACAUGUCGUCCGUCUGGCACAAUCAAUUGCAACGGUGUACACCCAAUAUACCGUUGCUCGCCACCUGUCACCUCCUCAACUCCCGCUCAACUUACCUUCAACGACUUCGGUGAAGGCGGAGACGGGGGUGGUCCAUCAUCAUGUGAUGGAAAAUAUCAUAACAAUAACGAAAGAAUAGUAGCAUUGUCCACCGGAUGGUUUGCAGGACGUUCGAGGUGUGGUAAAAUGAUACUAAUUCGCGCUAAUAACGGAAAGACCGUAACGGCUAAAGUGGUGGAUGAAUGUGAUUCUACUAUGGGUUGUGAUGCGGAACAUGCUUUUCAAAGUCCAUGCAAAAAUAACAUAGUGGAUGGUUCUAUUGCUGUGUGGAGAGCUUUAGGGUUAAAUACAGAUUUAGGUAUUGUUCCUGUCACUUGGUCCAUGGUUUAGGCCAACAUGGAGCGAUCGUUACAGUUAUGGAUUUGAUAGAAUUCAGUAACUUUAUAUGUCUCAAAUUAUAUGUAAUAAGAUGUACAUUAGAGUUUCUUAAAAAUAAUCAACUACGAUAUAAUUUCAACUAAUUAUAUUUUUCUUUCAUCUCAAUUUAUGUUGUGAAGCUUGACUUCUUCGUUUUUUAAUAUCAUGGCAUCACCCCCUUUGAAUUUGCGAAACUACUUCCUCCGAUUGAUAACCUAAGGAAGUCAACAUAUCCGCAACAUGAUUUGUUCCCGUUAAAUAGUUCUUGAUGAAAAGACUCUUGUCUUCGACCAUCUAUUUAAUCUCUUUACUUUAUUUCAAUUUGUUUGACUAGUCGCUGAGUUUAUAAAAGAAAUAAAUUCACUUGAAAUUUGUGGACUUAAACAAAGCAUAGAUAUUUUUGUGGUUAUAGAUAAUCUUAUUAAGAAUAAAGUGAAAAGUUUAAAAUUAUAUUAGUAUUAAAUAUGAAAAUGAUCAAACAUUUGGAGGGGGGGAGGGAGGGGGGACAAAUUUAUAAAAAGGAAAAUAUAAUGUCAUUUAAAUUAGAAGGGUGAUAUAGGGGAUUGAAUGAAUUAUGUUAAUCACAUAAUUGUAAUUCUUUUUUGUACUAAUUAAUUAUGAGUAUAGGUGAUAUAGGAGCUUUGAAUCCUUUCAAAUAUCUUCCUCAGAUUAUUAUGUACUUUUGAGUUAAGAUAAAUAAAACGCAGAAAGAUUGCUUGAAAAAAAAAGGUUAGGUGAUAUAGCUCUGAUUUUAACAUUCCGCUGCUUUAAUUUUAUUUUUAUUCUAAUAAAAUCAGAAAAAAUAUUUAUUUUUCUUUUUUAUUAUAAAUUUCAAAAGUCUUUAUGUCUAGCACCAAUUAUAGAAAGUCUGAAAAUUGCAAAAAUGCAAAAAAGGAGGACGGAGUGCAAGGUCAUAUUGUACUAUCAAAAAAUGGUAUAAUAUUGAAAUGUGUUCUUUAACUUGAUAUUAACUGAUAUUUAUGCAUUUUAAUUUUGAAUGUGCAAGGUACAUAAAUUUAUAUAGAAUUGAACAAUUAGACACAUAUGUCUAACGUGACGCCUUACGUGUAUUAUACCAUAUAAGACACAUGUAUUACGCCACGCAAAAAAUAUUUGCAGUAUACACUUAUUUUCUAGUUGUAAUACAAUGAAUAUGCACCAGUAACUAUUUCAAAUUGAUACAUCCGAAGUACUAUAUAGCUGGAUAUUUUUGACAGAUUGAAACUCAUAAGAAAAACACGAUAAAUGAUUUGAGACGAAGAGAUCAGUAUUUUCUCCUAAAUAAGACUCCCAUACCCUUUCUCUAAGAAUAAAGAUUAACCAGAUAUAAAAUAUUUAUAUUUAUCUUAUUGUUAAAGUAAACCCAAUUAUAAUAAGUAUGUUGUCGUUUUUUCCAAAACAAUAAAACACCCAAUUAUGAUUUAGAAAUUAGGACAAACACCCAAUAAUAUGUGAGUUUCUUAACAAAUCAAUUAUAUUCAAAUCAAACUAUGAAAAUUGACAAUUAAAUUUGCAAGACAUGGAUUGGUUUAAAACGUGGACGACGGUUGUGUAUCGGUCGGUUCGGUUCGAUUUAUCGAUUCAGUUUUUCGAUUUUCAGAUUUUAAAUAUGCUAAAUCGAUAACCAAAUCAAUAAGAUAUUUGUUAUAGGUUUUCGAUUUAUCGAUUUUGAUCUUUAACGGUUCGGUUUUCGGUUUAACCAAUAAGAAAAUGCUUCCAAAAUAAAUAUAUGACUUGUCCAACAAUUUAACGCGAAAUAAAAAGAGAAAAAUCUAAUUACUCAUUGAGUGCAAAAAUUCUUCUUAGUGUAGUAAAAGUAUAGCAAAUACUCAUAAUUCACAACCCUAGUCAUUGCCUAACCCUUGCCACCGUCGUUGCAAACCCUAGACAGCGUCGUUCUUAGUUCUUUAGGUUUUUGACGUUGUGAACCUAAAGACUAAAGUAAUACUAAAACCUAAAGGGUAAAUGCAGAGAGCAAGUUAAUUAAGUAAUGUUAAUUGUGUAGGGUCCUUAAAGUUAUAUUAUAAUAUAGUGAUUAUACUAAUAUUGUUUGUUUGAUAUUUAUGUAUGACUAAAAAUUAAAAUAGUAAAUUAUUAUAUUCUUAAUGGGUUAUCGGUUAACUCAAUAACCCAAUAUAAAAACCAAUAUCAAACCGAUAACCCAAUAAUUUUAUUUUAUAAAACCAUUAAAUAACUAUUAACCCAAUAACCAAUAACACUUUUUUCGGUUCGAUUUAUCGGUCGAUUCGGUUUUGCACACGGACGACGGUCAUGUUGUAUUUUUUUAUAAGAGAAAAGAUCUAGAAAUAUAUAUAUAUAUAUAUAUAUAUAUAUAUAUAUAUAUAUAUAUUGAGUCAAAAAUGAAUAUAUUAAUUAAAUAGCAGCCAUGACCUAGGAACUAAAGAGUACUAGGAAUAGCAUACAUAUCUCUCUAUGGUCAAAAAAUUUCCCUCUCUUACUUCUUUUUUUCAAGGUUUAGGGUGGGGGGGAGAGAAAAAUAUUGUUAGUGAAGUAAUUAAUCGAUUGUACAAAAUUUAUUAGUAUUGGACUAAAUUAGAAUUCACGUGUUAUAGAGUUUAUUUUCUGAAAAUAACGCUUCUAACAAAAAAAAUCAUUUCCAAAAAAAUGGUUUCGACCCUUCUAAUUAAAGGUAAUUUCAAACCAUCCUACCGUAAUUCAGAUUGAUUAAUUAAUCAAUCCAAUUGCUAAUCCAUCUAUUAGUCCUAAUAAUAUCAGAAGCCGUGCAACCAUGCAAGUCCUUGCAUUAAAUAGCCAAAGAAAGUCUAAUUUUGCUUAUACAAAAUUUGGAAAGAUUUUUAUACGUAGAUAUAAUCGUGGUAUUCGUGUCGGCUUGUGUGCACCUCGACUAAAUUCUACGGAAUAUAUGUCACUUUCCACGAGUAACACAUACCAGAUAACUUUUUCCACCAAAGUUAAAACAAAUAUAAAGAAAUUGCUUAGCGUUUUGCCUAUAUUAAAAUUUAAACCUGAGAUAUCAUGAUGCUCGAUUAACCCACUUCAUUAAAGAAUUUUCUUUUUACAAAAGUAAAAGAACAAGUCAUACUAUUAUUCAUUGUUUAACUUAUCCCAAUUCAGUUCAUUUCUCCCUAUAUAUAUUCAUCCAUUUAGACACUUUUCUUCACCCAUCAACACUUUCUUACACAUAUAACCUUUUCAAUCAUUACAAAAAUAGCCACAAUGUCCAAUCUAGCCUUUCUUUCACUAAUUUUCACCAUUUUCAUCUACACUUCUAACGCCAUUUCUCAAUGUAACGGCCCUUGUAAAACUUGGGACUAUUGCGAUGGUCAAUUAAUUUGCAUAAACGAAAAAUAUAACGAUGAUCCCAACGUUGGAACCAAAAUUUGCAAAAGUAGCCCUCCUUCUGUCCCUUCUCCAACUCCAACCAAUACAUGUCGUCCGUCUGGCACUGUCAAUUGCAACGGUGUACACCCAAUAUACCGUUGCUCGCCACCUGUCACCUCAUCAAUGCCCGCUCAACUUACCUUCAACGACUUCAGUAGAGGUGGAGACUGUCACGCCCCGAGCCUACACCCUGGACAUGGCUGACACUAGAAGACCAUUGUUGGCCCCAAGCGAACCCUUGGCCUGGCUUACCUACCUCAGACGAAGACAAUAUUCAUACUUAUAAUGAUCAAUAACACUUAACUAAACUGAAUAAUAAAAUAACUGAGAAUGUUUAAAGGUUAAACAUUCAACUUGGCCAAAAGUGGCAACCCAAGUCUUAACAAUAAGAAAUGAUAAUGAAAAGACUCAAAGGACUAACAUCUGAUUGUCUAUGAAGCCUCUAAAACAACUGAGAUGGAUGUUGGGACAACCCCACAACAUCCUAAUGAACUAACUAGAAAGCAAUGAAAAUAGAUCCUCCGGAAUGCAAGGAAGCUCACCGACUGACUCUGAACUGCUCACUGGAUCAACGGUGCGCUGGAAUGCCGAUCCUAGUUAAUUACAUGUAUCUGCAUCAUAAGUCUAGUUGGAAUGCUAAAACAACAUAGGCUUGAAAGGGAACCUGCUGAAAGAAACACUUACCUUGGCUCUUCUCAACUCAUGAAUACCUAACUGAUCUCAUUUCAAUAUAAACCAGUUUAAAACAAGUGCAAUAUAAAGAAAAGUUGUUUAAAAACAUGAUGUCAACUCUGUGUAUAUACAAGGAUACAACAUAACUCUGAAAUGUAUGUAAAAAUACAAUAAACUGAUGUAUAUAAAAAUACAAUAAAAUUGAUGUAUGUGGGAGUUUCUCUAACCGACAACCAUCACAUAAGAGCUAUAGUGAUGAUACAGCGAUCUACCUCACGCUGCCAGCGCAUCCUAUACCCGGCCAAAGGUACUAGGACCUAAACUACUAAGUGGAUCCACUAGUCUAUUGUGAAAAGGGUUCAUCUAAAAAGUAUGACCCUUUUCUACCCAUGGUGGCUACAUGGUUUUAUGGAGACGUGAGUUAUCUGAACUCAUGCUCACCCCCAAUUCAGUGCUCAAUACUACUCCCAAAAUAUACUAGCUCUUAUGUUUUUUUUUUAAAAAACAUACUUCUUCUGUGAUUUGAGAUUAGUGCUCAGAAACUUAGCUCAAAGGCUAUCUUGGAAAUCAAGUUUCCCCUCUUGCUUCAUUUAGAAAGCGAUUACUCUUUUCUGAAAACUAGCCCGAAGGCUCUUUGGAAAUCUCAGUUUCCGUUCUUAUUUAAAUGUGAAAACAUUUUAAAUCUCUUUAAGAAUACUUAGUCCCCAUAUACUUUUGAAGUAAUGAACUUCAAACUUUUACUCUUUACUAAACUUGAUCUUUAAGUCUUAAAACAAAGUUAAAAGCAUUUGCAAAAGACUUCUUGAAAAGACUCGAAGAACUUCCUAGACUUUGGCUCUUGACUUUCCUUGAAUUUGAAUUUAUGGAUUCAAGGUUAUGAUUAAUGUUUAUGGAUGAUUUCUAGGUGUUUAGAAGUCAUUUAGAGUAGUUAGAAUCAAUGGAAGAUGUUAGGACACUUUAGAAUAACAUAAAUAGGCCAAACGAUGAAAAACAGGUGAAAACGCCGAUCCAGGCGCGUCCCUGGAGCACCGCGACAGGCCCCAAUUUACUGGGGCUCAUUUUGGGCGCACUACGGGCGCACUGCCCCAGCCUCCUGGAGCUAUGGGGGCGCGACACACCUGGCCCUCCCCAGGUGCGUCUGACGAGUUUUUCAACUCGUUUUCUGAUCCUAAAUCAUUUUAAAUCGAUUUCUUUUCUCAAUAGUUUCUUUGAUCCAGAUACCCAACACAUGUACACUAGAAUCUAACUCGAAACAACUCUUAACAUCGCUAAAACGUCUCAAGGAAACCCAUCAAUCACAUGUAAGUUCAAGAAAGAAAACAAUUCAAGAACACAACUCAAGAACAUCAAAUUCUAACUCUUUUAGGAAGAAAAUCACUGAAUUAAACAUGCUUGGUGCAUGGGUGAACUAACCCAACGCUAUGUGAUCUCGCAUACCUUGUAGGGAUCACCCCCGACAAAAUCCACAAGCUAAUCUUGAACGAAUCUUGAACGUUCUUGCUUCCCCUUCUCCUUUCUCUUUUCUCCAAGCCCUAGCGUGAAAUUCACUUUUCUAAAAUGGACUAAAAUCUGAUUUGACCCAUAUUAAACUCCUAAAAACAGAUUAAAAUAAUAGUGCAAGAAAAAGACUAAAAUACCCCUUAAAAAUCCGGAUUGGACAUUUCCUUAUUUGAACAGCCCAACUUCCGAAGGGGAUAACUUGCUCAUACGAACUCGAAAUCACUCAAACUUGGCGGCGUUGGAAAGAUCAUUCCAAGGGAUUUCCAACCAUAUCUGGAAUCACACCUAACUCAUCCUGAGCUAGGAAUUAUGGCUGUUUGAAGUUGACCAAAAACUCACUUUAACACCUUUACCAAAUUUCCAAAUUUUUAAAUUCUUCCCAAAAAUAACUAUUUCCAGAUUUUAAACUUCAUUCUAGUUCUUUCUAGUUGCGAGAUGUUACAGAGACGGGGGUGGUCCAUCAUCAUGUGAUGGGAAAUAUCAUAACAAUAAUGAAAGAAUAGUAGCAUUGUCCACUAGAUGGUUCGGCGGACGUUCGAGGUGUGGUAAAAUGAUAUUAAUUCGUGCUAAUAAUGGAAAGACCGUAACGGCUAAAGUGGUGGAUGAAUGUGAUUCUACUAUGGGUUGUGAUGCGGAACAUGCUUUUCAAAGUCCAUGCAAAAAUAACAUAGUGGAUGGUUCUAUUACUGUGUGGAGAGCUUUAGGGUUGGAUACAGAUUUGGGUAUUGUCCCUGUCACUUGGUCCAUGGUUUAGGUCAACAUGGAGCGAUCGUUACAAUUAUGGAUUCGAUAGAAUUCAGUAACUUUAUAUAGCUCAAAUUAUAUACUUAUUGAACAAGCGUGUCAUCUUACAUGUAAUAAGAUGUGCAUUAGCGUUCUUUAAAAAUAAUCAACUACGGUAUAAUUUCAUACUAAUAAUAUUCUUCUUUCAUCUCAAUUUAUGUUGUGAUGUUUGACCUUCUUUUUUUUUAAUAUCAUGGCAUCACCCCUUUGAAUUUGCGAAACUACUUCCUCUGGUUGAAUACAAAUUAUGAAUUUGAUAAAAUUCAGUAACUUUAUAGCAUAAUUGAAUAGGCAUAUCAUCUUACAUGUAAUAAGAUGUACAUUGGAGUCACUUAAAAAUAAUAAAUUACGAUAUAAUUCCUAACUAAUAGUAAUGUUUAUGUGGUGAUCAUGUUUGACUUUUUUUUUAAUAUCAUGUCACGAUUUUAUUACCCCUUGGAAUUUGCAAAAUUACUUCCUCUAAUUUUUAGCAUAAGGAAGUCAUCAUAAAAUAAGAAGUUUAUAAUUAAAUUAGUAUUUUUUUUUUAAAUAUAGAAAUGUGAUAUUUUAAGGGGACAAUUUUAUAAAAAUAAAAAUAUAAUAUAAUAAGUCAUAUAAAUUAGAAGGGUAGAGUACUAAUUAAUUAUGAGUAUAAUAUAUUGGGGUUGCAAGAAUUAUGUUAAUCACUUAAUUGUUAUUCUGUUUUAAAUCGUUAUCAAAAUGGGUAAGUGCUUCCUAUGGGAAAUAUUUGUAACUUAAUUAUCCAUCAUAAAAUCAUCGAUAAAUACGUGAUAAAUAUAUAUAUCCAUCAUAUUCUAUCAUUAAUCUUUCUAUUGUGAUUGUUUCGACCAUUAAAAUGGUUGAUAUUUUAAGAUGGUGAAAUUAAUCCUCCUUACUUAUUCCUGGAUUCUUAUUUUAUCCCUUUGUUUAUUCACUUAUUUAUGUAAUAGACUUGUUUUUUUUAUCUUUUUAUAGUUUGGUGGAAAAUAUUUAGAAAUAUAUUUAUCCAUUAUUGAGUCAAAAAUGAAUAUAUUAAUUAAUUAGUAGCCACUGCCUAGGAAAAGAGUACUACUCUCUAUGGUCUACUUUUAUCCCUUAUUACUAGGGGUGUGCACAAUUCGGAUUAAACCGAAUAACCAAAACAAAUUAAAUCGAAUUUUUAUUUGGAUUGGUUUUUGGUUUUUCGAAUUGAUUUUGGAUUAAUAAAUUACUUUGUUUGGUUUUUUGGUUUGGUUUUGGAUUUUAAAAAAUAAAAAUCGAAAAAUCGAAAAAAAAACGAAUUAUAUGUAUGUGUGUGUGUAUAUAUAUAUAUAUAUAAAUGUUUAUGUUUAGAAUUAAGUUGGAGUUAACCACUUUUGUCCCUUUUUGGUUAUUGCAUUUCAUCAUGAUUACGUUUAUAUUUUAUAUUUGAACAUCUAUAAUAGGUAUAAUUAUAAGUAUUGUGUUUUAAGUUUUACUUAUGAUUUAUAUUAUAAAGUAUAUUUAAUUAAGAGAAUCAAUAUUAUUACUUUGGUUAUGUUAUUAAUUAUUGACAUAACCGAAUAACCACACCGAAAAAAAGCCGAACCGAAUAAAGGAAAACCAAACCAAACCAAAUUUAUUUUGGAUCGGAUUGGAUUACACUUUUACAAAUCAAAAACCAAAAAAUCCAAACUGAAUAGUGAAAAACCGAAUGCACACCCCUACUUAUUACUCUCCUUUUACUUCUUGAUUUCCCUAAUGUUAAUUAUUUGAAAAAUUAAUUAAAUAAUACAAAAUAUUUCCAUCUAGUUCUUUCUUUUUCUGAUUAAAUAGUAUAACAUGACAUGCAACUGUUUUUAAAAAAUUUGUUCAAGGUUUGGGAAGAAGAAAAAAAAAAGGAAGAAAAAUAUUAUUUGUGAAUUAGUUAAUCGAUUAUACAAAAGCUAUUAGUACUAAGGACUUCCUCACUAUAUUUAGGGAAAUAUAUAUAUAUAUAUAUAUAUAUACCCUUAAAUGCUUCAUUACUUUCAUACCCUCUUUUUAUUUGAAAAUGACAUAUAAUUCACGCGCCAACGUCAAAUUGAUGUUUGUGCCUACCCUUUUUUUCUCUCUGAUACCAUCUUAGUAUAUUACAGUAUAUGAAUAUACUUUGAUCGUAUCAAAGAGUAACUGAGCAGUGUCUUCAUUGAAGGAUUGUUUCUUCCUCCUGGAUACUAUCAAAAUAUAAUAUACUUUGAUGGUAUUAAUGAAUAACUGGACAGUGUUUUCAUUGAGGUUUGCUUCAAUCCUUCGAUGAGAUUACUCAAUCAUCCAUGAUACAAUUACGGUAUAUCUACAUAUUGUCGUGGUACUAUUGAGGUAUGUUUCAAUUCUUCAAUAUUAUAAUUUAAAACAGUUUUUAAAAAAGACAUAACGUAGAUACAAUUUUUUAAAAAUUUGUAAAAAGAGAAAAAAAAACUUAUAUUUUUCUACUAAUUUAGAGUUUAAUAAAUAAGAUUGUAACUUUAAUAAUUUUCUUUUAAUUGUUUCUUCUUUAUUUCUUAAAAAAGAGUUCAAUCCUAUAUGAUACCAAUAACUAUAAGGUAUCAAUAUAUAGACGGAGCAUCACAGAGGAUUAAACUCAAUUUAUAUGAUAUCAUUAUGGUAUCAAUAUACCAACGGAGUAUCACAAAGAAUAUAUUUUCUACUAAUUUAGAGUUUAAUAAAUAAGAUUGUGACUUUAAUAAUUUUCUCUUAAUUGUUUCUUAUUUAUUUCUUAAAAAAAAGAGCACAAUCCUAUACGAUACUGAUAGGGUUCAAUAUAUCGACAUAGUAUCACAAAGGAUUAACUCAGUCAUAUAUGAUACGGAUAUGGUAUUCAAUAUACCGACAGAGUAUCACAAAAGAUUCAUUCAUAGUAGUGAUGUUGAUGCCAUGGUGACAUCAUAGAAAGAAGAAAGUGGGGCAAGUGGGUAAAUAGUUUGGAUCAUGGGUCCAUUAAGGAUAAAUAGUUUAGGUUGGAUCCAAUUUGGAUAAAUAGUUACAAAAUUUGGCCGAUUUUAUGUAGUUUUCCCCUAUAUUCAUGGUAUAAUGACUAGCUCAUAGUCAUUAGCUUUUUAUGGAUGCAUUUUAGUGAAUGGUCUUUUUUUCUUAUUUCUCAUUUAGUGUUCGAUAUUUUUAUUGAGAUUCAAUAUUUUUAUUGGGAUUCGAUAAAACUUGAAUUCGCGUGUGUUGCAUGAAAAUAACGCUUCCAAUAAAAAAAAAUGAUUUCCAAAAAAUUAAAUUUGAUCCCUCUGAUUAAGGAUAAUUCUGAAUUAUCCUACCACAAUUUACGUUAAUUAAUUAAUCAACUUGCUAGUCCAUCUAUUAGUCAGAAAAUAUCAGAAGCCGUGCAUUCAAGUCUUAGCUUUGAAUAUCCAGAAAAAGUCUAAUUUUGCGAACUAUCGCUAUGAAAAUUGUGCAUAGGGUAGCCAAAUUAAGCUCAUAAAAAUAGGACUCGUCCUACCCUAUUUAAAAUUUGGAAUAAUCAUGGCUUUCAGGUCAGCUUGCACACAUAUCUCGUAACUUUUUUCAUCAAAACUAGAACAAAUGAAAAGAAAUUACUUAAUGUUUUGUCUUUGCUAGAAUUUGAACCAGAAACCUCAUGGUGCUCGAUCAGCUCACUUCAUAUCCGACUUUUUUUCAAGUAAAACUUGAGUCGAACUAUAAACCAUUGUUUAAUCUUAUCUUGAACCAGAGACCUCAUGGUGCUCGAUCAACCCACUCCAUAUCCGUCCAUUUGUCACGUUUGCAACUAUACUAGCCAAAAAUUACAUCUCACAGUAUCUUUUCUUCCUAUAUAUAUUCAUCCAUUUGGACAGUUUUCUUCACCCAUCAACACUUUCUUACACAUAUAACCUUUUCAAUCAUUACAAAAUAGCCACAAUGUCCAAUCUAGCCUUUCUUUCUCUAAUUUUAACCAUUUUCAUCUCUACUUCUAACGCCAUUUCCCAAUGUAACGGCCCUUGUAAAACUUGGGACGAUUGUGAUGGUCAAUUAAUCUGUAUAAACGGAAAAUGUAACGAUGAUCCUAACGUUGGAACCAAAGUUUGCAAAAGUAACCCUCCUUCCGUUCCAUCUCCAACUCCAACCAAUACAUGUCGUCCGUCUGGCACAAUCAAUUGCAACGGUGUGCACCCAAUAUACCGUUGCUCGCCACCUGUCACCUCCUCAACGCCCGCUCAACUGACCCUCAACGAUUUCAGUGAAGGCGGAGAUGGUGGUGGUCCAUCAUCAUGUGAUGGGAAAUAUCAUAAUAAUAAUGAAAGAGUAGUAGCAUUGUCCACUGGAUGGUUCGCGGGACGUUCAAGGUGUGGUAAAAUGAUACUAAUUCGC
rnacentral:lncRNA from 1 species